CAAAAAUUGUAGUUUAAAGCGACUGUUUUCAUGAGCUACUAAACGUUUGAAUAACAUUUUUAUAUCAAAAAAUCUGUAAUUCUUAAACUAAUCCAGCAUACCGACUACCUAAUAUUCAAGAUUUGGAACCAUUAUCGCGAUAUUAACUCGUUAGAAAGUCGUCUAGAGGCUCUGGAGCCAGUAGUUAACCAAAGGUGAGAAAAGAAAGAAAAAGAAAAGUCUGGAGUGCAAUAAUUAUGAAAGAUAAAAAAUUACAAAAGAAUGGAUAAAAGUUUCAAAUCUUUAUCCAGCUCCAUUGAUCAACCAUAGAUAUUUCUUCCUCCCGCUGACUGUGGUCCCUUCUUGAUCCAUAAGACGUUUGAAAUACUCGUUGAUAUGGAUUUCCUUAAAGGACUCAAUUAAUAGGUAUCUCUUUCAGUGGAUAUUCAUCGUAACCCUCUGGAUCACAUGAAACCAUCAGGCUUUUAAGGAGAAGGAGAGUACCGAUUGGUAAAAUUUUGGCCAGUAGAUCAAAAACUUGUCGAGUACUUUUAUUGGUCAUUGCUGAUCGAUUAGAUUUAACGUCAUCCGCUAGGUCUUUACGAUCAUAUAGAUUAUCAAGAUUCUAGUAAUCAUAGGCAUAAACAGAGCCAGCUGAUAGAUCAGAAUUUAGAUUUGAUAGAAGAAGAAUUAAAAGAAUAAGUAAAUUAUUAUCAUUCAUAUCAAUGAUAUAUCCACUGAAAGCUUUUUAAUUUAACAGAUUCAAUAUCUUUUUCACUUUCAUUCAUUAUUUUCAUCUUUACUGAUGAAUUGAUUGAGUGUUUGGUGUUAUCAAAACUAUUUAUAUGCCAAUUAUCUAAGCUCAUUCAUUAAGAAGCUAUAAUUUGAUCAGAAAAACAAUCUUUCAAGUGAAAUUUAAAACCAUCAUAACAUUUUUAAUGUAAAAUAAUUGAUGAAUUGGGUUUAAAAUAGUUAUUCAAUGCACUUACAGGUGACACUAAAGUCUCAUCAAAAAUAGCCAUUGUGCCUGAAAUAUUGGUUAUCUAUGGAUUUGUUAAGGAUUAUUCAAUCACUAAAUUGACAAUGAUAUCUCUGUAAUUAGUCAACUUAUUAGACUGGAAAGCAGAUGAAGGUUACAAAUUCACGAUUCUGGUCAUUUUUGAUGCAUCUGUUGGACAAAAUGCUAGGCAAUUUGUUAUCAUGCUGAAGAGUAAACAGAAGCUAGAAAUUAAAAUCAAUUCAGUUUCAUUGAUAAA